rnacentral:rRNA from 1 species
UACGGGGGGGGGCAAGCGUUGUUCGGAAUUACUGGGCGUAAAGGGCUCGUAGGCGGCCAACUAAGUCGGAUGUGAAAUCCCUGGGCUCAACCUAGGAACUGCAUUCGAAACUGGUCACCUAGAGUGAUGGAGAGGAAAGCGGAAUUCCCGGUGUAGAGGUGAAAUUCGUAGAUAUCGGGAGGAACACCAGUGGCGAAGGCGGCUUUCUGGACAUUUACUGACGCUGAGACGCGAAAGCGUGGGGAGCAAACAGG